GGGUGGCAGCAGUGGGGAAUAUUGGACAAUGGGGGCAACCCUGAUCCAGCCAUGCCGCGUGAGUGAUGAAGGCCUUAGGGUUGUAAAGCUCUUUCACCGGUGAAGAUAAUGACGGUAACCGGAGAAGAAGCCCCGGCUAACUUCGUGCCAGCAGCCGCGGUAAUACGAAGGGGGCUAGCGUUGUUCGGAUUUACUGGGCGUAAAGCGCACGUAGGCGGAUAUUUAAGUCAGAGGUGAAAUCCCAGGGCUCAACCCUGGAACUGCCUUUGAUACUGGGUAUCUUGAGUAUGGAAGAGGUGAGUGGAAUUCCGAGUGUAGAGGUGAAAUUCGUAGAUAUUCGGAGGAACACCAGUGGCGAAGGCGGCUCACUGGUCCAUUACUGACGCUGAGGUGCGAAAGCGUGGGGAGCAAACAGGAUUAGAUACCCGAG
rnacentral:rRNA from 1 species